AUUCUAGUAGCUUAAUACAAAG
rnacentral:tRNA from 1 species